rnacentral:rRNA from 1 species
GAUGAACGCUAGCGGCAGGCUUAAUACAUGCAAGUCGUGGGGCAGCAGGGGUGUAGCAAUACAUCUGCUGGCGACCGGCAAACGGGUGCGUAACACGUACGCAACCUUCCCGUUACUGUGGCAUAGCCCAGGGAAACUUGGAUUAAUCACACAUAUUAUAUAGAGAGGGCAUCCUUUUUAUAUCAAAGCUUCGGCGGUAACGGAUGGGCGUGCGGUUGAUUAGGUAGUUGGCGGGGUAACGGCCCACCAAGCCUACGAUCAAUAGCUGGUGUGAGAGCAUGAUCAGCCACACGGGAACUGAGACACGGGCCCGACUCCUACGGGAGGCAGCAGUAAGGAAUAUUGGGCAAUGGACGAAAGUCUGACCCAGCCAUGCCGCGUGAAGGAUUAAGGUCCUCUGGAUUGUAAACUUCUUUUCUCUGGGGCGAAAACCAGCUAUUCUUAGCUAUUUGACAGUACCAGAGGAAUAAGCACCGGCUAACUCCGUGCCAGCCGCCGCCGUAACAC